rnacentral:tRNA from 1 species
GGUAGGAUGGCUGAAUGUUAAGCGGCGGAUUGUAGUCCCGACAAUAUAGGUUAAAAUCCUUUUUUUACC